rnacentral:rRNA from 1 species
GCUGUGCACUCCUACGGGAGGCAGCAGUGGGGAAUAUUGCACAAUGGGCGCAAGCCUGAUGCAGCCAUGCCGCGUGUAUGAAGAAGGCCUUCGGGUUGUAAAGUACUUUCAGCAGUGAGGAAGGUGGAUAUGUUAAUAGCAUAUUCAUUUGACGUUAGCUGCAGAAGAAGCACCGGCUAACUCCGUGCCAGCAGCCGCGGUAAUACGGAGGGUGCGAGCGUUAAUCGGAAUUACUGGGCGUAAAGCGCAUGCAGGUGGUUUGUUAAGUCAGAUGUGAAAGCCCGGGGCUCAACCUCGGAAUUGCAUUUGAAACUGGCAAACUAGAGUACUGUAGAGGGGGUAGAAUUUCAGGUGUAGCGGUGAAAUGCGUAGAGAUCUGAAGGAAUACCGGUGGCGAAGGCGGCCCCCUGGACAGAUACUGACACUCAGAUGCGAAAGCGUGGGGAGCAAACAGGAUUAGAUACCCUGGUAG